UACAGAGGUCUCAAGCGUUGUUCGGAUUCAUUGGGCGUAAAGGGUGCGUAGGUGGCGGGGUAAGUCAGGUGUGAAAUUUCGGAGCUUAACUCCGAAACUGCAUUUGAUACUGCCUUGCUUGAGGACUGGAGAGGAGACUGGAAUUCACGGUGUAGCAGUGAAAUGCGUAGAGAUCGUGAGGAAGACCAGUGGCGAAGGCGGGUCUCUGGACAGUUACCGACGCUGAGGCACGAAGGUCAGGGGAGCAAACGGG
rnacentral:rRNA from 1 species